rnacentral:misc_RNA from 1 species
GUGAGUCAUCGAAUCUUUGAACGCACAUUGCGCCCCUUGGUAUUCCAUGGGGCAUGCCUGUUCGAGCGUCAUUUUGUACCCUCAAGCACUGCUUGGUGUUGGGCGUUUGUCCUGCAAAGGACUCGCCUGAAAGCGAUUGGCGGCCAACGUACUGGUGGUAGAGCGCAGCACAAUUUGCGUCUCUCCCUUCUACGAUGGCGACCAUGAAGCCUUAUUCAAACGUUUGACCUCGGAUCAGGUAGGGAUACCCGCUGAACUUAAGCAUAUCAAUAAGCGGAGGA